rnacentral:rRNA from 1 species
GAUGAACGCUGACAGAAUGCUUAACACAUCAGCAAUCGAUUGGUGGCGGACGGGUGAGUAACGCGUAAAGAACUUGCCCCCCAGCUAGGGACAACAUUUGGAAACGAAUGCUAAUACCUAAUUUUGUGAGAGAGCGUUGCGUCCCAUUAGCUAGUUGGAGAGGUAACGGCUCACGCAGGCGAGGAUGGGUAGCCGGCCUGUGAGGGUGAUCGGCCGCCAGGGGAAUGAGACACGGCCCGUAGUCAUACGGGGUGCAGCAGUGGGAAGUAUUGGACAAAGGACCAAAGUCUGAUCCAGCAAUUCUGUGUGCACGAUAAAGUUUUCGGAAUGUAGAGGGCGUUGAGAUGAAAAGCGGUACCAACAGAAGAAGUAACGGCUAAAUACGUGCCAGCAGCCGCGGUAAUUC